rnacentral:rRNA from 1 species
UACGUAGGGUCCAAGCGUUUGUCCGGAUUUAUUGGGCGUAAAGAGCUCGUAGGCGGCUUAGUAAGUCGGAUGUGAAAACUCGGGGCUCAACCCCGAGACGCCAUCCGAUACUGCUGUGGCUUGAGUCUGGUAGGGGAACACGGAAUUCCUGGUGUAGCGGUGAAAAUGCGCAGAUAUCAGGAGGAACACCGAUGGCGAAGGCAGUGUUCUGGGCCAGUACUGAC